GAAAGCCAGAGGCAAUCGGGGAAAGUCUGCAGAGCCCAAGCUGCCCAGCCCCACAGGGUACUCUGUUCUAGGAGAGUUAAUAAUCACUCCACUAAAAGAUUCAAAUCCAUUUUGGAAGCACACCUGAGCAGCACAUGCUAGAGUUAGUGUGCGAUGAAGUUGAUGGGCCAGAUACCGACCAAAGACUUCACUUUCUAAUAAAUCUCUUAUGCCAUUCUCCAUGUCGGUCUGCUUCCCAGAGGAUCUCAACUGACACAGCCACACAAUACCUCCUCAGAUUUAUUUUAUUAACUUGAAUGGAUAGUGUCUCCCGAAAACUGUGGCCGUAUGAAAAGGGUCCUCCCCACCCCAAAGAAAGUCACUUGUCAUCAAAC